AUUGAACGCUGGCGGCAGGCCUAACACAUGCAAGUCGAACGCGUGGCGGACGGGUGAGUAAUGUCUGGGAAACUGCCUGAUGGAGGGGGAUAACUACUGGAAACGGUAGCUAAUACCGCAUACCAUCAGAUGUGCCCAGAUGGGAUUAGCUAUGUGGUGGGUUAACGUCCCACCAAGGCGACGAUCCCAUGCUGGUCGGAGAGGAUGACCAGCCACACUGGAUCUGAGACACGGUCCUGACUACUACGGUAGGCAGCAUUGGGGAAUAUUGCACAAUGGGCGCAAGCCUGAUGCAGCCAUGCCGCGUGUAUGAAGAAGGCCUUCGGGUUGUAAAGUACUUUCAGCGGGGAGGCGUUACCCGCAGAAGAAGCACCGGCUAACUCCGUGCCAGCAGCCGCGGUAAUAC
rnacentral:rRNA from 1 species